AUUGAACGCUGGCGGCAUGCCUUACACAUGCAAGUCGAACGGCAGCACGGGCUUCGGUCUGGUGGCGAGUGGCGAACGGGUGAGUAAAGUAUCGGAACGUGCCCUAGAGUGGGGGGAUAACGUAGCGAAAGUUACGCUAAUACCGCAUAUUCUAUGCGUAGGAAAGCGGGGGAUCUUCGGACCUCGCGCUCUAGGAGCGGCCGAUAUCAGAUUAGCUAGUUGGUGGGGUAAAGGCCUACCAAGGCGACGAUCUGUAGCGGGUCUGAGAGGAUGAUCCGCCACACUGGGACUGAGACACGGCCCAGACUCCUACGGGAGGCAGCAGUGGGGAAUUUUGGACAAUGGGCGCAAGCCUGAUCCAGCCAUGCCGCGUGAGUGAAGAAGGCCUGG
rnacentral:rRNA from 1 species